AUUGAACGCUGGCGGCAGGCCUAACACAUGCAAGUCGAACGAGUGGCGGACGGGUGAGUCAUGUCUGGGAAACUGCCUGAUGGAGGGGGAUAACUACUGGCAACGGUAGCUACUACCGCAUACCAUCAGAUGUGCCCCGAUGGGAUUAGCUAGUUGGUGGGGUCACGGCUCACCAAGGCGACGAACCCUAGCUGGUCUGAGAGGAUGACCAGCCACACUGGAACUGAGACACGGGCCAGACUCCUACGGGAGGCAGCAGUGGGGAAUAUUGGACAAUGGGCGCAAGCCUGAGGCAGCCAUGCGGCGUGUAGGAAGAAGGCCUUCGGGUUGUAAAGUACUUUCAGCGGGGAGGCGUUACCCGCAGAAGAAGCACCGGCUAACUCCGUGCCAGCAGCCGCGGUAAUAC
rnacentral:rRNA from 1 species